rnacentral:rRNA from 1 species
UACGUAGGCAGCAAGCGUUGUUCGGAAUUACUGGGCGUAAAGAGUGUGUAGGCGGUGCUCUAAGUCUGUUGUGAAAUCUCCCGGCUUAACUGGGAGGGUGCGGCGGAGACUGGAGUGCUAGAGUGUGGGAGAGGUAAGCGGAAUUCCUGGUGUAGCGGUGAAAUGCGUAGAUAUCUGGAGGAACACCGGUGGCGAAGGCGGCAUCCUGGACCAACACUGACGCUGAGGAGCGAAAGCCAGGGGAGCAAACGGG